GUUUUGGUGAUGCUGAAACUGUUAUCAAUGCUGCUAUAGAACAAACUGGGAAAUGGGAUCAUGGAGAACUGUUACGAACUAAAGCUAAGCUCCAAAUUGAGCAGGACCAGUUAAAGAAUGCUAUUGAGACAUAUACUCAUCUUCUUGCACUUCUUCAAGUUCGGAGUAAAAGUGCUAGUGCUGAGAAGAGGAUUCUGAAGACUAGAAGAAAACAUGACAGAGGCUUGGAAAUGGAAACAUGGCAUGAUUUGGCCAAACUGUAUAUGAGCUUGUCGUAGUGGACAGAUAUGCUGAGGUCUGCCUUUCGAAAUCUCAGGUUAUCAGUCCCCAUUCUGCAUCUAGAUGGCACUGCACAGGCUUACUAUAUAUAUGAAGCUAAGGGUCUCCAUCGAGACGCGCUGAAUUCAUUCAGGAAAGCAUUGGAUGUUGAUCCCACACAUGUACCGAGUUUAA